GAUGAACGCUGGCGGCGUGCCUAAUACAUGCAAGUCGAGCGAACAGACGAGGAGCUUGCUCCUCUGACGUUAGCGGCGGACGGGUGAGUAACACGUGGAUAACCUACCUAUAAGACUGGGAUAACUUCGGGAAACCGGAGCUAAUACCGGAUAAUAUAUUGAACCGCAUGGUUCAAUAGUGAAAGACGGUUUUGCUGUCACUUAUAGAUGGAUCCGCGCCGCAUUAGCUAGUUGGUAAGGUAACGGCUUACCAAGGCAACGAUGCGUAGCCGACCUGAGAGGGUGAUCGGCCACACUGGAACUGAGGCACGGUCCAGACUCCUACGGGAGGCAGCAGUAGGGAAUCUUCCGCAAUGGGCGAAAGCCUGACGGAGCAACGCCGCGUGAGUGAUGAAGGUCUUCGGAUCGUAAAACUCUGUUAUUAGGGAAGAACAAAUGUGUAAGUAACUAUGCACGUCUUGACGGUACCUAAUCAGAAAGCCACGGCUAACUAGGUG
rnacentral:rRNA from 1 species